rnacentral:rRNA from 1 species
UACGGGGGGGGCAAGCGUUGUUCGGAAUUACUGGGCGUAAAGGGCUCGUAGGUUGCCAACUAAGUCAGACGUGAAAUCCCUCGGCUUAACCGGGGAACUGCGUCUGAUACUGGCGGGCUUGAAUUCGGGAGAGGGAUGUGGAAUUCCAGGUGUAGCGGUGAAAUUCGUAGAUAUUGGGAAGAACACCGGUGGCGAAGGCGGCCAUCUGGACCGCAACUGACGCUGAGGCGCGAAAGCGUGGGGAGCAAACAGG